ensembl:lncRNA
AGAGAGUAGAGAGGUAGGGCGCGCUGGAGGACGGCGCUAAGAGUUUAAAAUCUAAUCAUAGACCUGUCAACAUGUAUUAAUGUGAGUGGAUGGGAGCUGAAGGAAAAUCAAAAUGCAGACAAGAGAAAAGAAUGGUGUCUCCAGUGUCGGGGAGAUAUACUGUAGGAGGCAACACUAGCCAGAGGUGGGCCACAAUAGUUUUUUCCUUUAAGGAGAGUGAUGCUGAAUGAAAAUAUGGCUCAACUUACCCAACUCUAACCUACUCCCAUGUCUGAAUCAGUCAGAAAGAGAAGAAACCAGAAAUGUUUUGUUUCUCCAGGAGUGUAAUUGAACAGUCCUGAUCUACAACAAGGAUGAUGGUUGCAGUCUAGCCUGAAGAGGGCAGCAUUUCCCUACAGAAAGGACAACUAUCAGCAAGGACAUACAAGUGCAAAACUGUAAUGCUG